CCUACGGGGAGCAGCAGUCGAGAAUCAUUCACAAUGGGGGAAACCCUGAUGGUGCGACGCCGCGUGGGGGAAUGAAGGUCUUCGGAUUGUAAACCCCUGUCAUGUGGGAGCAAAUUAAAAAGAUAGUACCACAAGAGGAAGAGACGGCUAACUCUGUGCCAGCAGCCGCGGUAAUACAGAGGUCUCAAGCGUUGUUCGGAAUCACUGGGCGUCAAGCGUGCGUAGGCUGUUUCGUAAGUCGUGUGUGAAAGGCGCGGGCUCAACCCGCGGACGGCACAUGAUACUGGGAGACUAGAGUAAUGGAGGGGGAACCGGAAUUCUCGGUGUAGCAGUGAAAUGCGUAGAUAUCGAGAGGAACACUCGUGGCGAAGGCGGGUUCCUGGACAUUAACUGACGCUGAGGCACGAAGGCCAGGGGAGCGAAAGGGAUUAGAUACCCUAGUAGUC
rnacentral:rRNA from 1 species